rnacentral:rRNA from 1 species
AUUGAACGCUAGCGGCAUGCUUUACACAUGCAAGUCGAACGAGUGGCGGACGGGUGAGUAAUGUAUCGGAACGUGCCCAGUGGCGGGGGAUAACUACUGGAAAGAGUGGCUAAUACCGCAUACCAUAGGAUGGGCCCAUAUGGGAUUAGCUAGUUGGUGGGGUAAAGGCUCACCAAGGCGACGAUCCGUAGCUGGUAUGAGAGGAUGACCAGCCACACUGGGACUGAGACACGGCCCAGACUCCUACGGGAGGCAGCAGUGGGGAAUUUUGGACAAUGGGGGAAACCCUGAUCCAGCCAUCCCGCGUGUAUGAGAAGGCCUUCGGGUUGUAAAGUACUUUCGGCAGAGAAGCGGUAUCUGCAGAAGAAGCACCGGCUAACUACGUGCCAGCAGCCGCGGUAAUAC